rnacentral:rRNA from 1 species
UGCAGAGAUGCGGGAGUGCCUUCGGGAAUCGGAACACAGGUGCUGCAUGGCUGUCGUCAGCUCGUGUCGUGAGAUGUUGGGUUAAGUCCCGCAACGAGCGCAACCCUUGUCCUUAGUUGCCAGCGAGUAAUGUCGGGAACUCUAAGGAGACUGCCGGUGACAAACCGGAGGAAGGUGGGGAUGACGUCAAGUCCUCAUGCCCCUUACGUCCAGGGCUACACACGUACUACAAUGGUCGGUACAGAGGGUUGCAAUACCGCGAGGUGGAGCCAAUCCCAGAAAGCCGAUCCCAGUCCGGAUUGGAGUCUGCAACUCGACUCCAUGAAGGCGGAAUCGCUAGUAAUCGCGGAUCAGCUAUGCCGCGGUGAAUACGUUCCCGGGCCUUGUACACACCGCCCGU